rnacentral:rRNA from 2 species
UGAGGAAUAUUGGUCAAUGGGCGAGAGCCUGAACCAGCCAAGUAGCGUGCAGGAUGACGGCCCUAUGGGUUGUAAACUGCUUUUACGCGGGGAUAAAGUGCGUGACGUGUCUCGCAUUGCAGGUACCGCGUGAAUAAGGACCGGCUAAUUCCGUGCCAGCAGCCGCGGUAAUACGGAAGGUCCGGGCGUUAUCCGGAUUUAUUGGGUUUAAAGGGAGCGCAGGCCGCCCGAUAAGCGUGUUGUGAAAUGUACCGGCUCAACCGGUGAGUUGCAGCGCGAACUGUCAGGCUUGAGUGCACGGUAAGCAGGCGGAAUUCAUGGUGUAGCGGUGAAAUGCUUAGAUAUCAUGAGGAACUCCGAUUGCGAAGGCAGCUUGCUGCAGUGCGACUGACGCUUAGGCUCGAAGGUGCGGGUAUCAAACAGGAUUAGAUACCCUGGUAGUCCGCACGGUAAACGAUGGAUGCCCGCUGUCCGCCCAUUCGUGGCGGGCGGCCAAGCGAAAGCGUUAAGCAUCCCACCUGGGGAGUACGCCGGCAACGGUGAAACUCAAAGGAAUUGACGGGGGCCCGCACAAGCGGAGGAACAUGUGGUUUAAUUCGAUGAUACGCGAGGAACCUUACCCGGGCUUGAACUGCCAGUGAACGAUACAGAGAUGUUGAGGCCCUUCGGGGCGCUGGUGGAGGUGCUGCAUGGUUGUCGUCAGCUCGUGCCGUGAGGUGUCGGCUUAAGUGCCAUAACGAGCGCAACCCCUCUCUUCAGUUGCCAUCAGGUGAUGCUGGGCACUCUGGAGACACUGCCACCGCAAGGUGUGAGGAAGGUGGGGAUGACGUCAAAUCAGCACGGCCCUUACGUCCGGGGCUACACACGUGUUACAAUGGGGCAUACAGAGCGUCGGUUCAACGCAAGUUGGACCCAAUCUUCAAAGUGCCUCCCAGUUCGGACUGGGGUCUGCAACCCGACCCCACGAAGCUGGAUUCGCUAGUAAUCGCGCAUCAGCCAUGGCGCGGUGAAUACGUUCCCGGGCCU